rnacentral:rRNA from 1 species
GAUGAACGCUAGCGGCAGGCUUAACACAUGCAAGUCGAGCGCCCAGCAAUGGGAGCGGCGCACGGGUGAGUAACACGUGGGAACGUGCCCUAUGGUUCGGAAUAACGCAGGGAAACUUGCGCUAAUACCGGAUAAGCCCUUACGGGGAAAGAUUUAUCGCCAUUGGAGCGGCCCGCGUUGGAUUAGCUAGUUGGUGGGUAAAAGCCUACCAAGGCAACGAUCCAUAGCUGGUCNGAGAGGACGACCAGCCACACUGGGACUGAGACACGGCCCAGACUCCUACGGGAGGCAGCAGUGGGGAAUCUUGGACAAUGGGGGAAACCCUGAUCCAGCCAUGCCGCGUGAGUGAUGAAGGCCCUAGGUUGUAAAACUCUUUCGGCGGGACGAUAAUGACGGUACCCGCAGAAGAAGCUCCGG